rnacentral:rRNA from 1 species
GCUAGCGAUAGGCCUAACACAUGCAAGUCGAGGGGCAGCAUAGAGUAGCAAUACUUUGAUGGCGACCGGCGCACGGGUGAGUAACACGUAUGCAACCUACCUACAUCAGGGGAAUAACCCGGAGAAAUUCGGACUAAUACCGCAUAAUACAGGGAUGCCGCAUGGCAAUAUUUGUUAAAGAUUUAUCGGAUGUAGAUGGGCAUGCGUUCCAUUAGCUAGUUGGUAAGGUAACGGCUUACCAAGGCAACGAUGGAUAGGGGAACUGAGAGGUUUGUCCCCCACACUGGAACUGAGACACGGACCAGACUCCUACGGGAGGCAGCAGUGAGGAAUAUUGGUCAAUGGACGAGAGUCUGAACCAGCCAAAUCGCGUGAAGGAAGACUGCCCUACGGGUUGUAAACUUCUUUUGUACAGGAAUAAAAGACAUUACGUGUAAUGUAUUGCAUGUACUGUACGAAUAAGCAUCGGCUAACUCCGUGCCAGCAGCC